CGCCUUUUCGUUUUCAGACCCCAUUGUCUCCGGGCCAGUGAUCAGCCACACCCUUCCCCUGGGGGCUCCUCACUUCUGGUGGCUUAAUUCAAUCGGGUGUCUAUGUAUCCUCAGCUUUCUGGCGGGUUUUUUUUUUUAUUGUGAAUUUAUAGCUUAUGUGGCUUGUUUAGGUUGUUGGUGAAAAUAGGCUCUUGAGACUUUCUAUAUUGUAGCUGGAAGCAGAAGUUGUCAGGACAUCGGCUUGACUGGUGGCCACCUGCUGACCUCAGAGCCCUCGGAGCGAAUCCAGCUGUCCAAUUGAAACCAAGCAUGGUCCUCUGCGGCUUGGCCUCUUUUUCUCCCGAGAUGGUUGCGGGGCACUUAUUGGGUGAAGACCCUCAUUCAUUCUGGGGUGUGUCAGGAGUUUCUUCGAGACAGGACCAAGCUAUGAGCCUGUGGCAGGAGCAUCCGAGGCACAGCUCAGCCUCUCCCGUGCUGCACACCCCUGUGUGCAGGUGCCCUUGCCCGCAGCCGCGGCUCCAGGUCCGCGUGGAGUCAGCUGCUGCUGUCAAGCAUUUUCACAGUACAGUUACUGGUCUACUCCAGCACAGUCACGAGGCACCUUGAGAGGCUGCAAAAGACCCCUAAAGUCUUCCGCAUCUUUAUCAUUCCUCAAGGGAUGGGUUCCAGGACCCCCGAGUUUAACCCACCUGCAGGAGCUCAAGUUCCUGAUGUAAAAUGAUGUCGGAUUUGCAAGUAACCUGCACACAUCCUCCCGGUACUUUAAAUCAUCCCUGGAUUAUUCAUUGUACCGAAUACAAUGGAAAUGCUAUGUAAAUAGUUGUUACACUGUGUUGUUAUUUUUAUUUGUAUUUUUUCUAUAUUGUUAUUUUUUAU
rnacentral:lncRNA from 10 species